AUUGAACGCUGGCGGCAGGCCUAACACAUGCAAGUCGAACGAGUGGCGGACGGGUGAGUAAUGUCUGGGAAACUGCCUGAUGGAGGGGGAUAACUACUGGAAACGGUAGCUAAUACCGCAUACCAUUGGAUGUGCCCAGAUGGGAUUAGAUAGUAGGGGGGGUAACGGCUCACCUAGGAGACGAUCCCUAGCUGGUCUUAGAGGAGGACCAGCCACACUGGGACUGAGACACGGUCCAGACUCCUACGGUAGGCAGCAGGGGGGAAUAUUGCACAAUGGGCGCAAGCCUGAUGCAGCCAUGCCGCGUGUAUGAAGAAGGCCUUCGGGUUGUAAAGUACUUUCAGCGGGGAGGCGUUACCCGCAGAAGAAGCACCGGCUAACUCCGUGCCAGCAGCCGCGGUAAUAC
rnacentral:rRNA from 1 species